GCAGUGCGAGCGCAGCGCGCGAAAGGCCCCGCCCCUUCCUGGCCGCGCCGGGGAGGCCCUGGCCACAGCCGCCCGCAAGCAGUUCCGCUGCCGGAACGCUUCCCUGCCCCGUUCGCCCUGAAGUGCUUUCCCAAGGUUCGGGCCGGAGAGAGGUCUUGUAGGCGCAGCCGCCGAGGCCGUCGGCGCCGAGUAGGGUCUCCCACCCGGGUCAGAGCUGGGUGUCCGCGCCCUGCCCCCUCCCAGCACCCAGGCCGACGAAAUGACCAUUAAGAAGUAGAUGCCCAGAUGCAAAGUGAUGAAACAGUCCAAUUUGUCAUAAAGUAAGAUGCAGCUGUGGAUUUCAACCAGAUUAGUAAAGUCAGCAAAGAAAACAUGGUAUUUUGAAGUAUGAUUAAACUCCUGAUGCUGCAGCAGAGGCUAUGAAUAUUAAUGGCCAGAUCUAGAGGCUUUCACCCUAUUCUGACUGCACCCAUGGUCCCUGUCUCAUUUUCCCCUCUACAGAUGGAGGCCCC